UAGGUUAACGAGGCGAACCGGGGGAACUGAAACAUCUAAGUACCCCGAGGAAAAGAAAUCAACCGAGAUUCCCCCAGUAGCGGCGAGCGAACGGGGAGCAGCCCAGAGUCUGAAUCAGCUUGUGUGUUAGUGGAACGGUCUGGAAAGUCCGACGGUACAGGGUGAUAGUCCCGUACACCAAAAUGCACAGGCUGUGAACUCGAAGAGUAGGGCGGGACACGUGGUAUCCUGUCUGAAUAUGGGGGGACCAUCCUCCAAGGCUAAAUACUCCUGACUGACCGAUAGUGAACCAGUACCGUGAGGGAAAGGCGAAAAGAACCCCGGCGAGGGGAGUGAAAAAGAACCUGAAACCGUGUACGUACAAGCAGUGGGAGCACCUUCGGGUGUGACUGCGUACCUUUUGUAUAAUGGGUCAGCGACUUAUAUUCUGUAGCAAGGUUAACCGUAUAGGGGAGCCGCAGGGAAACCGAGUCUUAACUGGGCGUUAAGUUGCAGGGUAUAGACCCGAAACCCGGUGAUCUAGCCAUGGGCAGGUUGAAGGUUGGGUAACACUAACUGGAGGACCGAACCGACUAAUGUUGAAAAAUUAGCGGAUGACUUGUGGCUGGGGGUGAAAGGCCAAUCAAACCGGGAGAUAGCUGGUUCUCCCCGAAAGCUAUUUAGGUAGCGCCUCGUGAACUCAUCUUCGGGGGUAGAGCACUGUUUCGGCUAGGGGGUCAUCCCGACUUACCAACCCGAUGCAAACUACGAAUACCGAAGAAUGUUAUCACGGGAGACACACGGCGGGUGCUAACGUCCGUCGUGAAGAGGGAAACAACCCAGACCGCCAGCUAAGGUCCCAAAGUCAUGGUUAAGUGGGAAACGAUGUGGGAAGGCACAGACAGCCAGGAUGUUGGCUUAGAAGCAGCCAUCAUUUAAAGAAAGCGUAAUAGCUCACUGGUCGAGUCGGCCUGCGCGGAAGAUGUAACGGGGCUAAACCAUGCACCGAAGCUGCGGCAGCGACACUAUGUGUUGUUGGGUAGGGGAGCGUUCUGUAAGCCUGCGAAGGUGACCUGUGAGGGUUGCUGGAGGUAUCAGAAGUGCGAAUGCUGACAUAAGUAACGAUAAAGCGGGUGAAAAGCCCGCUCGCCGGAAGACCAAGGGUUCCUGUCCAACGUUAAUCGGGGCAGGGUGAGUCGACCCCUAAGGCGAGGCCGAAAGGCGUAGUCGAUGGGAAACAGGUUAAUAUUCCUGUACUUGGUGUUACUGCGAAGGGGGGACGGAGAAGGCUAUGUUAGCCGGGCGACGGUUGUCCCGGUUUAAGCAUGUAGGCUGAUUGUCCAGGCAAAUCCGGAUAAUCAAGGCUGAGGUGUGAUGACGAGGCACUACGGUGCUGAAGUAACAAAUGCCCUGCUUCCAGGAAAAG
rnacentral:rRNA from 1 species